CUUGGUUGAAAAUCACCCGCAGCUUUCCAUGUGACCAUGUGUGAGAUUUGUGGCUUAGAGUCAAGGGGGCUUCGGCUCACUGUGUCCACUCUCUGAUGUGGGAAGGUGAAACCCAGGUCCGGAAGCAC